rnacentral:rRNA from 1 species
UUGCCGGCGAUACGGCGGACGGCCUGUAGCUAAUGCCUGGNGAUCUGCCCAGNUCNANGGGGAUAACAGAUUGGAAACNACUGCUAAUACCGCAUACGCCCUACGGGGGAAAGGAGGGGACCUUCGGGCCUUUCGCGAUUGGAUGAACCCAGGUGGNAUUAGCUACUUGGUGGGGUAAUGGCUCACCAAGGCGACGAUCCCUAGCUGGUCUGANAGGAUGAUCAGCCACACUGNAACUGANACACGGUCCAGACUCCUACGGGAGGCAGNAGUGGGGAAUAUUGCACAAUGGGGNAAACCCUGAUGCANCCAUGCCGCGUGUGUGAAGAAGGCCUUCGGGUUGUAAAGCACUUUCAGCGAGGAGGAAAGGUUGGCAGCUAAUAUCUGUCAGCUGUGACGUUACUCGCAGAANAAGCACCGGCUAACUCCGUGCCAGCAGCCGCGGUAAUACGGAGGGUGCAAGCGUUAAUCGGAAUUACUGGGCGUAAAGCGCACGCAGGCGGUUGGAUAAGUUAGAUGUGAAAGCCCCCGGGCUCAACCUGGGAAUUGCAUUUAAAACUGUUCAGCUAGAGUCUUGUAGAGGGGGGUAGAAUUCCAGGUGUAGCGGUGAAAUGCGUAGAGAUCUGGAGGAAUACCGGUGGCGAAGGCGGCCCCCUGGACAAAGACUGACGCUCAGGUGCGAAAGCGUGGGGAGCAAACAGGAUUANAUACCCUGGUAGUCCACGCCNUAAACGAUGUCNAUUUGGAGGCUGUGU